GUAUUCAACUCUCUUCAACUUAUCCUCUCUCCCAAACUAGCUAUAUAAACCAACCAUCAUCGACCAUGAGAUUUAUGCUUCACAUUGGUUCGAUUGGAUAUCCAUCUCCCAAUUUUUUAAUCUCUUUCAGCUAACUUACAGUGCUUACUAUCUAUGGCCUCAGUUUGUCACCUCACAAACAUAUGGUCUCCGCCAAAAUUGAAGAAUUCUGAACGUUCUAGAUUCCUCGAGUUCAACAUUCUCUGAAAGCAUAAGUUAAGAUCUCCUUCAUCUCGGCGGUCUUGCCUUCUAUCUAUGCCGAUGAAACGGAGAACUCUUCGACGAUGUGUUGUUUCAAGCUCCCCGACGCCUAUGGCGGUCGAUGUCCACACAAAGGUGUCAAGGCUACAAAUGUAGUUUCCAGUGGAGCUUCCAUUGGUAUCUACAGUCUGUUGAGCUCAUGGAUGGUGGAUCAGACUACCUUGGAAAGGGUGUCUCUAAGGCUGUUGGCGAUGAACAAAAUAAACACUGGUGAUAGUUAAGAAACUGGUUGAAGACAGUAGGAGAGAUAUAGAAAAAGCUGUUGAGAAUGAAGAGAAGCUCCGUCAUUUGAAGACAAGAGUGUGAGUCACUAUGAAAUUUCGUCAAUACUUCUACCAAUGUUGUAGAAACACUUCUUUCAUCUGAGCGGCAAUUCCAAACUAUCGAAGCACGGCUGGUUGCUACGUCUAGACAGCUGGAAGGUGAGAAAGUGCAGAAAAAGGUAGAAGUUCAAAAGCUGAUGGAGGAGAACGUGAACAAUGCAAAGUCAUGGCUUUGAAUGCUUCAAACAUCUGAUUAUGCAUCUUUCAUCUCCUGCAAUGGCCUAUGUGAUUCGUAUGUUUUCAGAUUUGAUAUUCUGGUAACUCUGUACA